rnacentral:lncRNA from 1 species
GGCAAUUGUAACCGACUAGGAUUAGUUUCUAGAUCUGUAACCCUGCCCUCCAGACUAUAUAAGGAGGGGCAAGGGACCCCCCUAGGACACAUCAUAUUCUCUCAACACAAAUCAAUACGACCAGACGCAGGACGUAGGUAUUACGCCAACUCGGCGGCCGAACCUGGAUAAAAAGCUUGUCCGUGUCUUGCGUCACCAUCGAGUUCGUAGUUUGCGCACCGUCUACCGAUAAACUACUACCGUGGGUAUACCCCAAGGUAGACUGCCGACUAGCUUUCGUCGACAGCCCCUUUUUAUUUUCUCGUAUAUUUUUGCAUAACCCAUGCCUCUUCGGCAUUGAAUCUUUUUAGAGAGAGAGAAUAACAAUAUUCGAGACAGUGAGUAAAAAUAUUUUUAGCAAUUUUAAUGAUUGAUGAUGGAUGCUGUGGUAGAUGCGUGCAAGUGAAUAUCUUAAUUUAACCGCAUGAAAAGCUCCUAAGGGUCUACACAGCUCGAUCAAACUCAAUGUGAAUAUAGUAAAAGAUGUUAUAGCAAGUAUGGCUGUGGUAGGUAGUUUUGUUAUGCUAGGAACUCAUCAUGUGAUUUGUAAGUUUUCAAAAAUAAAUCUCUAGAACUUGGUGUAGUAGGAACAAGAUAAACAGUGGCUCAACUUUAUAUCAUGCCUUUCUCUUACUAGACUUUAGUUUUAUGCUUCCCAAAGAUAGUAAUUUUAGUUUUAGUAAUUCCUGGAAGAAUUCUAAUAUAAAAGCUAGGUACUUGUAAGUGAGCAAACAGAGCAACUAUUCAUCAUUUCCAUCAUGUAUAUUUUUUGUCUUUUUUAUUUUUUUUCUAGAGAUUAAACUUAGCAGAAAAAUAAAACACACUUAUCUACACACUCUUUUUAUUUUGUUUUCAUGUUUAUAAAGUGCAGUAAAUUAAAGCAAGAAAAUAUUUAUUUGGUUUUCUAAGCUUUUCCUUUUAAGAUAAAUUAAAUACUAAGACAGAAUAGAAUAAAUAAGAAGAGCAAAUAAAAACUUACUUGAUAAAUUUGGGAGGAACUCCCCCAAGCUGGAUGUUGACGUCGGUCUUACCCGAUGUUCCAGAACCGCAUCAUGGUUGUGAUGUUGUUAUUCAUUGUUGUUGUAUCUUGUCUUAGCUCUUGUACUGCAGCGGCAUGGUCCUGGUUCCAUUUUUGUUGUUCUUCUAGGAGUCUUCCAUGUUCUGCUUGCGUGUUCUGGAUGUCGAGGAGGGUGUUGUCGGUACGAGUGAAGAAAGCACCGGCCUCUUGAUAGUAGUCAUUCGUGAAGGCGUAGGAGGCGUCGGAGUAUCGUCCUGCAUCCAAUUGGGGCGGAGGUCUGGAUCCUGAAGCUCUGUAUGGAUCAGUGGAGUACCUGCCCGUAUGAAAAGGCGGGUUUGUCCACUGGUGAUCUUGGCUCUCUAGCCAUGUCUCCUCUGUCGGCUCUUGUGGUUGCGCAGGACGAGCCCAUGGGUCUCGAAGGACUCGAGGGUUAUAAUCGCAAUAAUGCAGGUGUGCUGCUUCUUCUGGUCCAGGGUCAGCUCCAUACCAAGUGCGUUCUCGGUGAGUGGUUAUCCUUUCAGAUGCCACUCGUUGUGG